UUGUUUUAUUUGAUGAGUUUGAGAAGAAAGGAAAAGAAAAAGAAGAAUAAUAAUUAAUAUUAUUAUUUUUAGUUAAAUGGGACAAAGAGAGUUUGGACUCCAUCUUCUUCCUCUUAAAAACCCUAAAAGAAAAACCCUAACCCCUCAAUCAACCCGCCGCCACUCUCCUCCGUCCAGUAGCCACCGCGAGUCACUGUCGGCCGCCGCAUCUUCUUCGUCAAUCGAAGCCUAGCCGCGCAUCCCAAUCAUUCGACAGUCACGUCGUCGUUCGCAGCCGAUCAUCCGCAUCCGCCGCUCUCCUCUGCCGUCAGUCGCUGCCCCAACCCCAACCCGCGUGAAUCCGUAUCGUGCAGCCAACCCGAGCCAAUCUACUACCCCGAGCUUCCACCCGCAGAUUCGAGGUGAGCCUUACCGCCGUCAGCGUCUUCAUCUAUAUUUCGUGUGUCGCCGAUAAAGCCUAGCUGCGUCAGCCAUCCGUCGAAGCUCUUCCGUCGCAGCCGUGAGCAAGCAUGUGCAAGCUACCAUUCCCAACCGCGCUUUAUCUUUUAGUCGUGAAGAUCGAGCCUCGCCUUCGCCUGAGCCACGCCAGCCACCCGCACCUUCGCCCGAGCUGCGCCAGCCACCCGCAUGAAUCCGAGACGCGCCCCAGCCGUUGACCUUCAGCCGAGCCGUUUCCCUAUCAAAUCGAGCCGCCUGUUUUCCUUCAACUAAGCCACCUAGGUAGUUUUUCCCCUAGUCAAGCCAUAUUGAGCCACCAAGCUUAUUUUUGGCUUUUUACCUAUUUUUGGUAAGUUUGAGUUGGGUUUUGGUUAGUGCCCGACAAAUAUUGAUUUUGGAUCCUAGAUAAUUUAAUUAUGGAUUUAACUGAAUUUUUUUAUGAUAGAUCAAUUGGAAGUUGAACUGUGGAACCUUGUCCUAAAUUAAGGUAAAUUAAGGUUGAGUUGGAUCCGACCUCCACUUUGAGUAAGUUGAAUUAACUUGAUUUUUUUUAUCCUAAAUUAACUGCAAAUUUAGUUAUUUUCUUAGCAUUUUACCCUUAAUGUUUAGGAUCUUUCUUGGGAAGCUUGACCUAGCUGUAAUGAUUUUAAUUCUUUCGAUUAAACUAAUCUCCAAGUAAGAGAUUUUACGACUAGACUUUCGACUGAAAUUAAAAGAUCACAUGUGUGUAUGGUUAUGCAUGGACGAUAGCUUAUUUGCAUAACUCGAUGUUAUUUAUUAUGACUGACAUUGUAUUGAUGUUUGAUGUUGAUGACUGAUGUCAUGUUAUGACUGGUAGUAUGUUGAUGAAGACGACUGCAUUAUGCUUAUGAUUAAGAUAUUUGGAUAAGUAUGUUAUGAUUGUUAUGUCAUGCAUGCCAUGUUUAUGAUAAUAUUAUGACACGUUACAUGCUAUGGAUAGGGUAUAUUGUUAGCUUCACCUAUUAGAGUCGUACCCACAUGGGUGUCCCUCGAGAUCACCACCUUUUAUGAUUGUGUAGCUCGACGGGAUCACCAGUCCACUAUGACAUUGACAUAGACAUGAUUAUGAGUGAUUUGACGGGGUCACUCACAGUCCGAUUGUCUUAGUGUUCCCUUUGGGUACAUUAAAGACAAUUUUGUUCUAGAUGUUCCUUUGGGUUCACCGAGGACCAGAUAUAUUCCUACGGGACCACAAAUUGCAUGUGUAUGGGAACGUGCUAGUUCAGAGGUAAGAGUAGAGGGAAGCUGGUGAAUGACAAAAAGUGACCGUGGCGAGCCAUAGGGAUCAUUAUUGCUUUCGCUUUAUGUCGUUUGAUCUGAUGCAUUAUUUUAUUUUAUUUUAUUUAAAACUAGAUAGGGCCCGAGUUAAGAUUUUGUUAAAUUUUAUCUUUAAAAUAUUUGUUUAUGAUUUUAAUAAGUAUUUGAGGUUUUGUUUUA